rnacentral:rRNA from 1 species
UGGCCAGACUCCUACGGGAGGCAGCAGUGGGGGAUAUUGCACAAUGGGGGAAACCCUGAUGCAGCGACGCCGCGUGGGUGAAGAAGCGCCUCGGCGCGUAAAGCCCUGUCAGCAGGGAAGAAAAUGACGGUACCUGAAGAAGAAGCCCCGGCUAACUACGUGCCGGCAGCCGCGGUAAUACGUAGGGGGCGAGCGUUGUCCGGAAUUACUGGGUGUAAAGGGAGCGUAGACGGCUGUGCAAGCCAGAUGUGAAAGCCCGGGGCUCAACCCCGGGACUGCAUUUGGAACUGCGUGGCUUGAGUGUCGGAGAGGCAGGCGGAAUUCCUAGUGUAGCGGUGAAAUGCGUAGAUAUAAGGAGGAACACCAGUGGCGAAGGCGGUCUGCUGGACAGCAACUGACGGUGAGGCGCGAAAGCGUGGGGAGCAAACAGGAUUAGAUACCCUGGUAC